UGGGUUCGAAUCCCAUCCUCGUC
rnacentral:piRNA from 1 species